GUACACUCCUGCGGGAGGCAGCAGUGGGGAAUAUUGGACAAUGGGCGCAAGCCUGAUCCAGCCAUGCCGCGUGAGUGAUGAAGGCCCUAGGGUUGUAAAGCCCUUUCACCGGUGAAGAUAAUGACGGUAACCGGAGAAGAAGCCCCGGCUAACUUCGUGCCAGCAGCCGCGGUAAUACGAAGGGGGCUAGCGUUGUUCGGAUUUACUGGGCGUAAAGCGCACGUAGGCGGACUAUUAAGUCAGGGGUGAAAUCCCGGGGCUCAACCCCGGAACUGCCUUUGAUACUGGUAGUCUUGAGUUCGAGAGAGGUGAGUGGAAUUCCGAGUGUAGAGGUGAAAUUCGUAGAUAUUCGGAGGAACACCAGUGGCGAAGGCGGCUCACUGGCUCGAUACUGACGCUGAGGUGCGAAAGCGUGGGGAGCAAACAGGAUUAGAAACCCCAGUAGUCCCAU
rnacentral:rRNA from 1 species